CCUACGGGUGGCAGCAGUGGGGAAUAUUGGGCAAUGGGCGCAAGCCUGAACCAGCAAAGCCGCGUGAAGGAAGAAGGCUCUAGGGUUGUAAACUUCUUUUGUCCGGGGCGCAGCAAGUGACGGUACCUGACGAAUAAGCAAUGGCUAAAUACGUGCCAGCAGCCGCGGUUAUACGUAGGUGGCAAGCGUUAUCCGGGUUUACUGGGUGAAAAGGGCGUGUAGGCGGGGAGGCAAGGCAGAUGGGAAAACCACGGGCCCAACCCGUGGCCUGCAGUUGAAACUGUUGUUCUUGAGUGGUGGAGAGGCAAGCGGAAUGCCGUGUGUAGCGGUGAAAUGCGUAGAUAUACGGAAGAACCCCAGUGGCGAAGGCAGAUUGCUGGAGAGCAACUGACGCUGAGGCGCGAAAGCGUGGGGAGCGAACAGGAUUAGAUACCCUAGUAGUC
rnacentral:rRNA from 1 species